UACGUAGGGGGCUAGCGUUGUCCGGAAUCAUUGGGCGUAAAGCGCGUGUAGGCGGUCCGGUAAGUCCGCUGUGAAAGUCGGGGGCUCAACCCUCGGAUGCCGGUGGAUACUGUCGGGCUUGAGUACGGAAGAGGCGAGUGGAAUUCCUGGUGUAGCGGUGAAAUGCGCAGAUAUCAGGAGGAACACCAAUUGCGAAGGCAGCUCGCUGGGACGUUACUGACGCUGAGACGCGAAAGCGUGGGAAGCAAACAGG
rnacentral:rRNA from 1 species